GUUGCCAGUCGUGCGAGAUCCAAUCCGCCAAUCGGCGCGCCACCAUGGACAAAGAAAAGCAGUAUGUCGCCGUGAGUGAAACCAUGUCCAUCCUUUGAUUUGGCCUAGCGAAUCAGACCGAUGGUGAAGCACAAGGAGCGGGGGAGGUGUGUGUGGGGAUUCCUAACCGUGGGGAGGCCCAAAUCAACCACAAUUUCUCGACGGAGCUGGGAAACCGCCGCCGUGCCGCAUGAUGUCGGUAUUGGGCCUCUACGACAUGCGAUUCCUAGGAGAAGAAUAGGUGGUUCAAGAAGAGCCACACAACGAGGAGUUUGACUUAAUCUAGGUGGCGUCUCCCAGUUGACUUAUUGGCGCCAAGGAUGGAUUUUAGUUUGUUUUAUAUUUAUCUUUCAUUUUGUAAGACUUCUGCUAUAUAAUAAGUACUCUGAUGUUAUUGUGACAUUUAUCUCUAUACACAUCUGUUAUUAUA